UCCUUUGAAAGUUUAUAAUGUUUUCAUACAACCAAUUAAGUCAGUCAUUGAUUAUUACUUGUUAGUCUAUAAUGUGCAUGGAGGAGAAUGAGUCUUCCUUGGAUUCCUACAUGGGAAUUUGAUGCAAUAAUAAAGCAGUGGCGUAGCUAGAAUAAAUGAAGAAAGAGGGCACAGUGGGGGCACUGACUAAAGCAAUGCUCAAGAAUACUCAAUAUAUUGCAGGGGCACAAUUAAGAAGCAGUUAUGAAGGCACUUGCCCCCACAGGCCCCUAUGUAGCUACGCCACUGAUUAUAGAUAUGGGGGGCUUUUAAUUUUGUAUCAGUAUAGGCUUUAUCAUCAUUAUAAAGUGCUGCAUUUUUUCUUUAGAAGGAAGUGAAGUGAACAUUAAUUUUUGUAGUCAUUAUUAUUGUCAACUAUUUUUGGUUUAAAUUUAUGAUUGCAUUGUUUCCAAUGAUGCCAGACAGAUA